rnacentral:tRNA from 1 species
GCCCGGUUAGAUCAGACGGUAGAGCGCGGGACUUUAAAUCCUGAUGUCAAGGGUUCAAGUCCCUUUUCGGUCG